rnacentral:rRNA from 1 species
UACGUAGGGGGGCGAGCGUUUGUCCGGAUUUAUUGGGCGUAAAGAGCUCGUAGGCCGUUCGGUAAGUCAGAUGUGAAAACUCCAGGCUCAACUUGGAGAGGCCAUCUGAUACUGCUGUGACUAGAGUCCGGUAGGGGAGCACGGAAUUCCUGGUGUAGCGGUGAAAUGCGCAGAUAUCAGGAGGAACACCAGCGGCGAAGGCGGUGCUCUGGGCCGGAACUGACGCUGAGGAGCGAAAGCGUGGGUAGCGAACGG